UGAGUGGGCCUUAUGGCCGCGCUUUCAAUCUGCCUGCGGGCGCGAAGAAGGUGAGGAAAGUCCGGACUCCACAGGGCAGGAUGCCAGCUAACGGCUGGGCGAGGUGACUCGACGGAAAGUGCCACAGAAAAGAAAACUCCCUGGCUGGCCUUGUGGCUCGCCAGAGAAAAGCUGAAACGGUGUGGUAAGAGCGCACCAGCGCUCUGGCAACAGAGCGGCUUGGCAAACCCCAUCUGGAGCAAUGACAAAUAGGGAUGCAAUCGGUUUGCCCAACCGGCAUCCGGGUUGUCAGCUUGAGAGCAGCGGCGACGCUGCCCCUAGAUAAAUGGCCAUACGCGACAGAAUCCGGCUUACCGGCCCACUCACCUA
rnacentral:RNase_P_RNA from 1 species